rnacentral:rRNA from 1 species
GACGAACGCUGGCGGCGUGCUUAACACAUGCAAGUCGAACGGAAAGGCCCUGCUUUUGUGGGGUGCUCGCGUGGCGAACGGGUGAGUAACACGUGAGUAACCUGCCCUUGACUUUGGGAUAACUUCAGGAAACUGGGGCUAAUACAGGCUAGGAGCUCCUGCUGCAUGGUGGGGGUUGGAACGUUUCGGCGGUUGGGGAUGGACUCGCGGCUUAUCAGCUUGUGGGGUGGGUAGUGGCUUACCAAGGCUUUGGUGGGUAGCCGGCCUGGGAGGGUGACCGGCCACCUUGGGACUGAGAUACGGCCCAGACUCCUACGGGAGGCAGCAGUGGGGAAUAUUGCACAAUGGGCGGAAGCCUGAUGCAGCAACGCUGCGUUCGUGAUGACGGCCUACGGGUUGUAAACCGCUUUCGCCUGUGACGAAGCGUGAGUGACGGUAAUGGGUAAAGAAGCACCGGCUAACUACGUG